UAUUUCAUUUUAAAAAUAUAAAAUAUACAUAAUUUAUAAUUCAAUAAAAUCAAAGUCACAUUUUUUUCAACCGCUACCGUAUUCCUACGAACAAGCGCACCCACUGUAUUACGCCGCAGCCGCUCCGUAAGUGCGCUUGCGCGUAGGAAUACGGUACUAAAAAAAUGAAGCGCCAAAGAAGAGUUAGCGCGUGCUGUUUUCACGGGAAGAUUUAAACGGAUAUUGGAUUGUUUUGGUGGAAAUUUUUAAAAGUGUCUAAAAUACUUUUUUUCUCGUGGCCCAGCCCACAACAACACGUCGCUUUGUUACUCUCCCUGGCUCUCCUAACUGGGACCUCCCUCAUCAUAAUCUACUUUAGGACACGGACGCCUUGAGAGCGGGAAACCCUGACAGUGGGAUUUUUUCUGGAUGCAGGGAAAGUGAAGCCAUCACUGGAUUUAACCAAGACCGACAUGGAUGAGUCGCAGCUCAGUGUUGUGGAGACUCGGGUCGCAGGCCAGCCGGGCGGCUUGUCUCCAGGUCCUCCGGGCCUCUGGUUCUCACUGCCUCCAAACAUGCGCUGACAUCUGGGGCCUCCACUGCUGAGAGUCAGGAUUAUUUCUCCAGGCUGAAGAAGGUAUUUUCCGAGCCAGACUAAAAGCUAACCUGACCCAGCUGGCCUUGGAGACUGACCUGAGCAGAAAGUUUAAACAAGAGCGGAAGGAUCUUCUUCUGAGGACAUUGAACUCAUCAGCAAACCGAAGACUUCACACUCAGUUAAGGCAGGUUGACGUGGAGCCGGGGGAGACCUCAUUACACCAGACCUCUGUCCAUGUGUGAGACAAGGCCCUCGUCUCGUCGCCGUGUCCUUGACACUGCUGUCAUAUCCACUGCAAAGCGACGUGGGCGCGGCAUCUCAUUCUACUGCGUCUGACCUCACGUCAUCUCCGCCAAGGUGGGUGUCACCUCAUUCAGAAACGAGGCGUCGCUCCCUCCGGAGGAUCCACCCCCCCCCCACCCCCUCUGCUCGAUGACAGGGCCUCGAGAGCUUACCACAGGCAGAGAGGCUUUGCUAAUCGUCCACUUCCUGUCGCUGCGGCGUUUCAGCAGGCUACUGUCUCUGCACAUCCUCACCAGCUGGAGGCAAAACUGCUAGCCUCAAACAUCUCUUACUGCGCCAUACAGAACACAGCAGCAGUAACGUUCUGAUGAAAACCGGACAGUGAGAACACACAUUGCUCCAAUCUUGAAAUCUGGUUAUCUGUUUGUCACAGAAAUUCUUUUGUUGGUUUUGAAAUUUCAGAUCGCCUUCGCCCCGUCUAAUCUGUCCGACAUGGUUAAGUACAAUGCUCUAAAUCUGUUGACUCUUUCAAACACAAUCUUAAGACACAUCUUUUCACCAUCGCUUUCUCCUGAAGUGUCUUUUCUUUUACCUGAUAGUCGUGUCUUAUCCUGCUGUUUUAAUUCACUUUUAUUUUAUUUUCAUAUUGCUUUCUCCUCUGGUGGCUGUUUUAUCUUGAAUUAUCCUGCUGUUUUAAUUCAACGUUGGUUUAUUUUCCUUGAUUUUAUUGCUGAACUGUGCUAUCUAAAUAAAGUUUAUUAUUGUUAUUAUUA